rnacentral:rRNA from 1 species
AGAGUUUGAUCAUGGCUCAGAGCGAACGCUGGCGGCAGGCCUAACACAUGCAAGUCGAGCGCCCCUCCUUCAAGCGAGCUUGGAGGAUUGCGGAGCGGUCUUUUGCGCGGGCGCAAGCUCGUUGCGGAAGUCGUUUCGAGGUCGAGCGGAGCCGAAAGGCUCGCUUGAUGGAGGGGAGCGGCAGACGGGAGAGUAACACGUGGGAACGUACCCUUUGGUUCGGAACAACCCAGGGAAACUUGGGCUAAUACCGGAUAAGCCCUUACGGGGAAAGAUUUAUCGCCGAAGGAUCGGCCCGCGUCUGAUUAGCUAGUUGGUGGGGUAAUGGCCCACCAAGGCGACGAUCAGUAGCUGGUCUGAGAGGAUGAUCAGCCUCACUGGGACUGAGACACGGCCCAGACUCCUACGGGAGGCAGCAGUGGGGAAUAUUGGACAAUGGGCGCAAGCCUGAUCCAGCCAUGCCGCGUGGGUGAUGAAGGCCCUAGGGUUGUAAAGCCCUUUCGGCGGGGAAGAUAAUGACGGUACCCGCAGAAGAAGCCCCGGCUAACUUCGUGCCAGCAGCCGCGGUAAUACGAAGGGGGCUAGCGUUGCUCGGAAUCGCUGGGCGUAAAGCGCACGUAGGCGGAUUGUUAAGUCAGGGGUGAAAUCCUGGAGCUCAACUCCAGAACUGCCUUUGAUACUGGCGAUCUCGAGUCCGGGAGAGGUGAGUGGAACUGCGAGUGUAGAGGUGAAAUUCGUAGAUAUUCGCAAGAACACCAGUGGCGAAGGCGGCUCACUGGCCCGGUACUGACGCUGAGGUGCGAAAGCGUGGGGAGCAAACAGGAUUAGAUACCCUAGUAGUCC